rnacentral:rRNA from 1 species
GACGAACGCUGGCGGCGUGCUUAACACAUGCAAGUCGAACGGAAAGGCCCCCACUUUUUUGGUGGGGGUGCUCGAGUGGCGAACGGGUGAGUAACACGUGGGUGAUCUGCCCUGUACUUCGGGAUAAGCUUGGGAAACUGGGUCUAAUACCGGAUAGGACCAUGGUUUAGUGUCUCAUGGUGGAAAAAUUAUUGUUUUGGUGCAGGAUGAGCUCGCGGCCUAUCAGCUUGUUGGUGGGGUAAUGGCCUACCAAGGCGUCGACGGGUAGCCGGCCUGAGAGGGUGGACGGCCACAUUGGGACUGAGAUACGGACCAGACUCCUACGGGAGGCAGCAGUGGGGAAUAUUGCACAAUGGGCGCAAGCCUGAUGCAGCGACGCCGCGUGGGGGAUGACGGCCUUCGGGUUGUAAACUCCUUUCGUUAGGGACGAAGCCGCACCUUUUUUGGGUGUGGUGACGGUACCUUUGUUAAGAAGCACCGGCUAACUACGUG